rnacentral:rRNA from 1 species
AUUGAACGCUGGCGGCAGGCUUAACACAUGCAAGUCGAACGGCAGCGCGGACUUCGGUCUGGCGGCGAUGAGCGGACGCGUACGUGUUGGUUCUGAACGUGCAACGGAGUGGGGGAUAGGGAGGAGUACGGCGGAUUGUUACUGAUACCGCACAGCGGGUGAAAGCGGGGGAGGGGAACGCCCCGGCCUCUUGGCGUGGGCGAUGUCGGGAUAGCAUGUUGGUGGGGUAAGGGCUAACCAAGGCGACGAUCCGUAGCUGGUCUGAGAGGACGACCAGCCACACUGGGACUGAGACACGGCCCAGACUCCUACGGGAGGCAGCAGUGGGGAAUUUUGGACAAUGGGGGCAACCCUGAUCCAGCCAUGCCGCGUGCGGGAAGAAGGCCUUCGGGUUGUAAACCGCUUUUGUUCGGGAAGAAAUCCGCUGGGCUAAUACCCCGGGGGGAUGACGGUACCGGAAGAAUAAGCACCGGCUAACUACGUG